rnacentral:tRNA from 1 species
ACAGAAGUAGUUUAUAAAAUAUUAGGUUGUGGGCCUAAAGAAAAUUCUUUUUAA